rnacentral:rRNA from 1 species
GGUUAAGCGACUAAGCGUACACGGUGGAUGCCCUGGCAGUCAGAGGCGAUGAAGGACGUGCUAAUCUGCGAAAAGCGUCGGUAAGGUGAUAUGAACCGUUAUAACCGGCGAUGUCCGAAUGGGGAAACCCAGUGCAAUUCGUUGCACUAUCGUUAACUGAAUACAUAGGUUAACGAGGCGAACCGGGGGAACUGAAACAUCUAAGUACCCCGAGGAAAAGAAAUCAACCGAGAUUCCCCCAGUAGCGGCGAGCGAACGGGGAGCAGCCCAGAGUCUGAAUCAGCUUGUGUGUUAGUGGAACGGUCUGGAAAGUCCGACGGUACAGGGUGAUAGUCCCGUACACCAAAAUGCACAGGUUGUGAACUCGAAGAGUAGGGCGGGACACGUGGUAUCCUGUCUGAAUAUGGGGGGACCAUCCUCCAAGGCUAAAUACUCCUGACUGACCGAUAGUGAACCAGUACCGUGAGGGAAAGGCGAAAAGAACCCCGGCGAGGGGAGUGAAAAAGAACCUGAAACCGUGUACGUACAAGCAGUGGGAGCACCUUCGGGUGUGACUGCGUACCUUUUGUAUAAUGGGUCAGCGACUUAUAUUCUGUAGCAAGGUUAACCGUAUAGGGGAGCCGCAGGGAAACCGAGUCUUAACUGGGCGUUAAGUUGCAGGGUAUAGACCCGAAACCCGGUGAUCUAGCCAUGGGCAGGUUGAAGGUUGGGUAACACUAACUGGAGGACCGAACCGACUAAUGUUGAAAAAUUAGCGGAUGACUUGUGGCUGGGGGUGAAAGGCCAAUCAAACCGGGAGAUAGCUGGUUCUCCCCGAAAGCUAUUUAGGUAGCGCCUCGUGAACUCAUCUUCGGGGGUAGAGCACUGUUUCGGCUAGGGGGUCAUCCCGACUUACCAACCCGAUGCAAACUACGAAUACCGAAGAAUGUUAUCACGGGAGACACACGGCGGGUGCUAACGUCCGUCGUGAAGAGGGAAACAACCCAGACCGCCAGCUAAGGUCCCAAAGUCAUGGUUAAGUGGGAAACGAUGUGGGAAGGCACAGACAGCCAGGAUGUUGGCUUAGAAGCAGCCAUCAUUUAAAGAAAGCGUAAUAGCUCACUGGUCGAGUCGGCCUGCGCGGAAGAUGUAACGGGGCUAAACCAUGCACCGAAGCUGCGGCAGCGACACUAUGUGUUGUUGGGUAGGGGAGCGUUCUGUAAGCCUGCGAAGGUGUGCUGUGAGGCAUGCUGGAGGUAUCAGAAGUGCGAAUGCUGACAUAAGUAACGAUAAAGCGGGUGAAAAGCCCGCUCGCCGGAAGACCAAGGGUUCCUGUCCAACGUUAAUCGGGGCAGGGUGAGUCGACCCCUAAGGCGAGGCCGAAAGGCGUAGUCGAUGGGAAACAGGUUAAUAUUCCUGUACUUGGUGUUACUGCGAAGGGGGGACGGAGAAGGCUAUGUUAGCCGGGCGACGGUUGUCCCGGUUUAAGCAUGUAGGCUGAUUGUCCAGGCAAAUCCGGAUAAUCAAGGCUGAGGUGUGAUGACGAGGCACUACGGUGCUGAAGUAACAAAUGCCCUGCUUCCAGGAAAAGCCUCUAAGCAUCAGGUAACAUUAAAUCGUACCCCAAACCGACACAGGUGGUCAGGUAGAGAAUACCAAGGCGCUUGAGAGAACUCGGGUGAAGGAACUAGGCAAAAUGGUGCCGUAACUUCGGGAGAAGGCACGCUGGUGUGUAGGUGAAGUCCCUGCGGAUGGAGCUGAGACCAGUCGAAGAUACCAGCUGGCUGCAACUGUUUAUUAAAAACACAGCACUGUGCAAACACGAAAGUGGACGUAUACGGUGUGACGCCUGCCCGGUGCCGGAAGGUUAAUUGAUGGGGUUAUCCGUAAGGAGAAGCUCUUGAUCGAAGCCCCGGUAAACGGCGGCCGUAACUAUAACGGUCCUAAGGUAGCGAAAUUCCUUGUCGGGUAAGUUCCGACCUGCACGAAUGGCGUAAUGAUGGCCAGGCUGUCUCCACCCGAGACUCAGUGAAAUUGAACUCGCUGUGAAGAUGCAGUGUACCCGCGGCAAGACGGAAAGACCCCGUGAACCUUUACUAUAGCUUGACACUGAACAUUGAGCCUUGAUGUGUAGGAUAGGUGGGAGGCUUUGAAGCGUGGACGCCAGUCUGCGUGGAGCCAACCUUGAAAUACCACCCUUUAAUGUUUGAUGUUCUAACGUUGGCCCCUGACCGGGGUUGCGGACAGUGUCUGGUGGGUAGUUUGACUGGGGCGGUCUCCUCCCAAAGCGUAACGGAGGAGCACGAAGGUUAGCUAAUCCUGGUCGGACAUCAGGAGGUUAGUGCAAUGGCAUAAGCUAGCUUGACUGCGAGCGUGACGGCGCGAGCAGGUGCGAAAGCAGGUCAUAGUGAUCCGGUGGUUCUGAAUGGAAGGGCCAUCGCUCAACGGAUAAAAGGUACUCCGGGGAUAACAACAGGUGAUACCGCCCAAGAGUUCAUAUCGACGGCGGUGUUUGGCACCUCGAUGUCGGCUCAUCACAUCCUGGGGCUGAAGUAGGUCCCAAGGGUAUGGCUGUUCGCCAUUUAAAGUGGUACGCGAGCUGGGUUUAGAACGUCGUGAGACAGUUCGGUCCCUAUCUGCCGUGGGCGCUGGAGAAUUGAGGGGGGCUGCUCCUAGUACGAGAGGACCGGAGUGGACGCAUCACUGGUGUUCGGGUUGUCAUGCCAAUGGCACUGCCCGGUAGCUAAAUGCGGAAGAGAUAAGUGCUGAAAGCAUCUAAGCACGAAACUUGCCCCGAGAUGAGUUCUCCCUGAGACUUUAAGUCUCCUGAAGGAACGUUGAAGACGACGACGUUGAUAGGCCGGGUGUGUAAGCGCAGCGAUGCGUUGAGCUAACCGGUACUAAUGAACCGUGAGGCUUAACCUU